rnacentral:rRNA from 1 species
GACGAACGCUGGCGGCGUGCCUAAUACAUGCAAGUAGAACGCUGAAGGGAGAGCUUGCUCUUCUGGAUGAGUUGCGAACGGGUGAGUAACGCGUAGGUAACCUGCCUGGUAGCGGGGGAUAACUAUUGGAAACGAUAGCUAAUACCGCAUAACAUUGACUAUUGCAUGAUAGUCAAUUGAAAGGUGCAAAUGCACCACUACCAGAUGGACCUGCGUUGUAUUAGCUAGUUGGUGGGGUAACGGCUCACCAAGGCGACGAUACAUAGCCGACCUGAGAGGGUGAUCGGCCACACUGGGACUGAGACACGGCCCAGACUCCUACGGGAGGCAGCAGUAGGGAAUCUUCGGCAAUGGACGGAAGUCUGACCGAGCAACGCCGCGUGAGUGAAGAAGGUUUUCGGAUCGUAAAGCUCUGUGUAAGAGAAGAAACGAGUGUGAGAAGUGGAAAAG